CUAAUACCGGAUACGCCCACCGGAGGCAACUUUGGUGGGGAAAGGGUGCGUUCUGCGGAGCGCAUCCGCUGAAGGAGGAGCCCGCGGCCUAUCAGCUGGUUGGUAGGGUAACGGCCUACCAAGGCGAAGACGGGUAGCUGGUCUGAGAGGAUGACCAGCCACACGGGGACUGAGACACGGCCCCGACUCCUACGGGAGGCAGCAGUGGGGAAUAUUGGGCAAUGGGGGAAACCCUGACCCAGCGACGCCGCGUGGGUGAUGAAGGCCUUCGGGUCGUAAAGCCCUGUCGGGCGGAACGAAUGCCCCUAAGGUAAAUAGCCUUAGGGGGUGACGGUACCGCCGAAGGAAGCACCGGCCAACUCCGUGCCAGCAGCCGCGGUAA
rnacentral:rRNA from 1 species